rnacentral:lncRNA from 1 species
GGGGACAGGUCUUUCCUGUGCUGUUUUCAUGAUAGCGAGUAAGUCUCAUGAGAUCUGAUGGUAUUAUAAGGGGGAGUUUCCCUGCCCAAGCUCCUCUCAUUGCCUGCCACCACCCACGUAAGAUGUGACUUGCUCCUUCUUGCCUUCUGCCAUGACUGUGAGGCCUUCUCAGCCACGUGGAACUUCAUGUCAAGGGAAAGAACAAAAGGAAAAGAACCCCUGGACACGAAAUGCCUGCAGCGUGUUUUCCAGCCUGGGACCCGCGGACAUUCUGAGUCGGCAGGAAGCUCUUUGGGGUGGCGCCGUCCCUGGCACUGUAGGAUGUCUCACAGCAUCCCGGGAUGCCCGCAGCACCCCCUCCCCACCCUGAGGAAGUCUAGCUGUUUAAGCAGCGGUGACAUGGAGAAAAACCUUGUGGAAUUGUCUUUGAGUUGACCAGGAGAACUGCUCCGUGUUCACAGGCUUCAAACGACAUCCCCGGAGUGCCUCACAAACCAUGCAUCCCGAAUGCUUCAGCCCCUGAGAACUGCUAUAGACCGUUAAAUGGUUACAGCAAAAGUCCAGUUAGAAAUUUUUAUUCAGGAUGCCUCCAAACUUGAUCACCAACACGAGCCAUGAACACUGAACUGCAUUCACAGUUGACGAAGCCAUUUUUAUAUAGUAUAUUUUAAAAUUCUACAUAUUUUGAAAAUGCGGUUUUCAUAAGAAACAUUCCAUUGUUGGUUACCUUCUGUGUAUAAAUGAAUAUAUCUUUCUAGAAAGAUCAAUUUAUGUGUCCUCUUUAACCAUCUAUUGUCAACUUUUUUCAAAUGGAGCUUUCUUUUAUAAAUAUAUCUACCAAAAAAAAAGAAAUUUUUAUUCAGGAUGAAAGAGAAAUCUAAUGCUGAUAAAGUUCAACUUUGAUCCUUGAACUACCAAGGCAUUCAUACAGCAUACUGGUUAAAUAAUAUCCCUCCAAACAGGCAGUGUCCAGCUCCAGACAGUCUCGUGGCCAUGAAGAAAUUAGAGCAUCUGGCAGCUCAGCUCCAUAACACUGUUUAGAGGGGCCUUGUGGCUGAUGAAUGAGCAUUAACAUUACAGAUGGAUAUCGAGAAAUAUUAUGAAUGGGUGAUUUAUCACACGGCAACAAAAAUAAUUGCAGGGUCACAUUUCUGGAUCAGACAAUCAGACACAAGUUUGAAGUUGAAAAUAAUAAAAUAUGCUUUGCCUAGGGGCCAGGCGCAGUGGCUCACGCCUGUAAUCCCAGCACUGUGGGAGGCCGAGGUCAGCGGAUCACAAGGUCAAGAGAUCGAGAACAUCCUGGCCAACAUGGUGAAACCCCAUCUCUACUGAAAAUACAAAAAUUAGCUGGAUAUGGUGGCAUGCACCUGUAGUUCCAGCUACUAGGGAAGCUGAGGCAGGAGAAUUGCUUGAACCCAGGAGGCAGAGGUUGCA